GACGAACGCUGGCGGCGUGCUUAACACAUGCAAGUCGAACGGAAAGGCCCUGCUUUUGUGGGGUGCUCGAGUGGCGAACGGGUGAGUAACACGUGAGUAACCUGCCCUUGACUUUGGGAUAACUUCAGGAAACUGGGGCUAAUACCGGAUAGGAGCUCCUGCUGCAUGGUGGGGGUUGGAAAGUUUCGGCGGUUGGGGAUGGACUCGCGGCUUAUCAGCUUGUUGGUGGGGUAGUGGCUUACCAAGGCUUUGACGGGUAGCCGGCCUGAGAGGGUGACCGGCCACAUUGGGACUGAGAUACGGCCCAGACUCCUACGGGAGGCAGCAGUGGGGAAUAUUGCACAAUGGGCGGAAGCCUGAUGCAGCAACGCCGCGUGCGGGAUGACGGCCUUCGGGUUGUAAACCGCUUUCGCCUGUGACGAAGCGUGAGUGACGGUAAUGGGUAAAGAAGCACCGGCUAACUACGUGCCAGCAGCCGCGGUGAUACGUAGGGUGCGAGCGUUGUCCGGAUUUAUUGGGCGUAAGGGCUCGUAGGUGGUUGAUCGCGUCGGAAGUGUAAUCUUGGGGCUUAACCCUGAGCGUGCUUUCGAUACGGGUUGACUUGAGGAAGGUAGGGGAGAAUGGAAUUCCUGGUGGAGCGGUGGAAUGCGCAGAUAUCAGGAGGAACACCAGUGGCGAAGGCGGUUCUCUGGGCCUUUCCUGACGCUGAGGAGCGAAAGCGUGGGGAGCGAACAGGCUUAGAUACCCUGGUAGUCCACGCUGUAAACGGUGGGUACUAGGUGUGGGGUCCAUUCCACGGGUUCCGUGCCGUAGCUAACGCUUUAAGUACCCCGCCUGGGGAGUACGGCCGCAAGGCUAAAACUCAAAGGAAUUGACGGGGCCCCGCACAAGCGGCGGAGCAUGCGGAUUAAUUCGAUGCAACGCGUAGAACCUUACCUGGGUUUGACAUGGACCGGGAGUGCUCAGAGAUGGGUGUGCCUCUUUUGGGGUCGGUUCACAGGUGGUGCAUGGCUGUCGUCAGCUCGUGUCGUGAGAUGUUGGGUUAAGUCCCGCAACGAGCGCAACCCUUGUUCACUGUUGCCAGCACGUUAUGGUGGGGACUCAGUGGAGACCGCCGGGGUCAACUCGGAGGAAGGUGGGGAUGACGUCAAGUCAUCAUGCCCCUUAUGUCCAGGGCUUCACGCAUGCUACAAUGGCUGGUACAGAGAGUGGCGAGCCUGUGAGGGUGAGCGAAUCUCGGAAAGCCGGUCUCAGUUCGGAUUGGGGUCUGCAACUCGACCUCAUGAAGUCGGAGUCGCUAGUAAUCGCAGAUCAGCAACGCUGCGGUGAAUACGUUCCCGGG
rnacentral:rRNA from 1 species